rnacentral:rRNA from 1 species
AGCGAACGCUGGCGGCAGGCCUAACACAUGCAAGUCGAACGGAUCCUUCGGGAUUAGUGGCGGACGGGUGAGUAACACGUGGGAACGUGCCCUUUGGUUCGGAACAACUCAGGGAAACUUGAGCUAAUACCGGAUGUGCCCCUCGGGGGAAAGAUUUAUCGCCAUUGGAGCGGCCCGCGUCUGAUUAGCUAGUUGGUGAGGUAAAGGCUCACCAAGGCUACGAUCAGUAGCUGGUCUGAGAGGAUGAUCAGCCACAUUGGGACUGAGACACGGCCCAAACUCCUACGGGAGGCAGCAGUGGGGAAUCUUGCGCAAUGGGCGAAAGCCUGACGCAGCCAUGCCGCGUGAAUGAUGAAGGUCUUAGGAUUGUAAAAUUCUUUCACCGGGGACGAUAAUGACGGUACCCGGAGAAGAAGCCCCGGCUAACUUCGUGCCAGCAGCCGCGGUAACAC